rnacentral:rRNA from 1 species
AUGGAGAGAUUGAGGAUGAUUAGUUUUGUGAUUGACUGUUGUAUAGUAUCGCGGGAAAAUCAUAACACGGCCGUCUUCAUCGGGGAUGGGCACGUUCCUGGAGUUGCUGAAGAAUUUGAUAUAAGUCAAGGAAUUACAACUAUUGCUGGUGGGAAAUCAAGCAGAGGAGGGCAUGUUGGUGGACCAAGUGACGAUGCAAAAUUUGCUACUGAUUUUGAAGUCCAUUACAUUGCCAGUCGUUGCUCCCUUUUGGUGAUUGACAGAGGAAAUCAAGCUAUUAGGGAGAUUCAGCUCAACUUAGAUGACCGUGUGUACCAGUAUGAAGCUGGUUUUCCUAUAGGUUGUUCGCUCACUAGAUCGUCCCAAUUAUUGUACUGUACUGAGUGGUUGAAUUAUCAUGCUGAUCGGGGCGAGGCGACUAUAGCGGCGAGAUCUUAUAAGUGGUUCUUAGAGGUGUACUUGCUGUAG